rnacentral:rRNA from 1 species
UACGGAAGGUCCGGGCGUUAUCCGGAUUUAUUGGGUUUAAAGGGAGCGUAGGCCGGAGAUUAAGCGUGUUGUGAAAUGUAGAUGCUCAACAUCUGCACUGCAGCGCGAACUGUUUUCCUUGAGUACGCACAAAGUGGGCGGAAUUCCAGGUGUAGCGGUGAAAUGCGUAGAGAUCUGGAGGAAUACCGGUGGCGAAGGCGGCCCCCUGGACGAAGACUGACGCUCAGGUGCGAAAGCGUGGGGAGCAAACAGG